UACGAAGGUGGCAAGCGUUGUUCGGAUUUACUGGGCGUACAGGGAGCGUAGGCGGCUCGGUAAGUCGGGUGUGAAACCUCCAGGCUCAACCUGGAGACGCCACCCGAUACUGCCGUGGCUAGAGUCCGGUAGAAGAGCGUAGAAUUCCUGGUGUAGCGGUGAAAUGCGCAGAUAUCAGGAGGAAUACCAGCGGCGAAGGCGGCGCUCUGGGCCGGUACUGACGCUGAGGAGCGAAAGCGUGGGGAGCAAACAGG
rnacentral:rRNA from 1 species